CAGGAAGCCGAUGUUCCGUCGUACGUUUUGAAAAACGAACCAGGGAGUGUGCCUGUUUGACGAGUCUAACUCGAUUAUCGAGGAAGGCGUAGGGAAACCGAUAUGGCCGCAGUCUUACGACGAGGGCCACCGUGUUCAAGCGCGGGGAGUCAAACGGGCACAACCCGAAACCGGACGAUCUAGGCGUGAGCAAGGUGAAGCGUGCCGAAAGGUGCGUGGAGGCCUGUUAGAGUUGGUGUCCUACAAUACCCUCUCGUGACUUACGUUUAGGGGUGAAAGGCCCAUCGAGUCCGGAAACAGCUGGUUCCAACCGAAACAUGUCGAAGCAUGACCUCUGCCGAG
rnacentral:ncRNA from 1 species